CCUACGGGUGGCAGCAGUGGGGAAUAUUGCACAAUGGGGGAAACCCUGAUGCAGCGACGCCGCGUGAGUGAAGAAGUAUUUCGGUAUGUAAAGCUCCUUUAGUAGGGAAGAAAAUGACGGUACCUGACUAAGAAGCCCCGGCUAACUACGUGACAGCAGCCGCGGUAAUACGCAGGGGGCAAGCGUUAUCCGGAUUUACUGGGCGUAAAGGGAGCGUAGACGGCCAGACAAGUCAGAAGUGAAAGCCUAAGGCUCAACCCUGGGACUGCUUUUGAAACUGCCGGGCUGGAGUGCAGGAGAGGUAAGCGGAAUUCCUGGUGUAGCGGUGAAAUGCGUAGAUAUUAGGAGGAACACCGAUGGCGAAGGCGGCUUACUGGACUGUAACUGACGUUGAGGCUCGAAAGCGUGGGGAGCAAACAGGAUUAGAUACCCCGGUAGUC
rnacentral:rRNA from 1 species